CAUUGGGGGCGCAACGCCCU
rnacentral:snRNA from 1 species